UACGUAGGGUGCGAGCGUUGUCCGGAAUUACUGGGCGUAAAGAGCUCGUAGGUGGUUUGUCGCGUUGUUCGUGAAAACCUGAGGCUUAACCUUGGGCGUGCGGGCGAUACGGGCAGACUGGAGUACUGCAGGGGAGACUGGAAUUCCUGGUGUAGCGGUGAAAUGCGCAGAUAUCAGGAGGAACACCGGUGGCGAAGGCGGGUCUCUGGGCCGUAACUGACGCUGAGGAGCGAAAGCCAGGGGAGCAAACGGG
rnacentral:rRNA from 1 species